GACGAACGCUGGCGGCGUGCUUAACACAUGCAAGUCGAACGAUGAAGCCGGAGCUUGCUCCGGUGGAUUAGUGGCGAACGGGUGAGUAACACGUGAGCAAUCUGCCCUUGACUCUGGGAUAACUGCGGGAAACUGUAGCUAAUACCGGAUACGACACCUUGGGGCAUCCCAGGGUGUGGAAAGAAUUUCGGUCAAGGAUGAGCUCGCGGCCUAUCAGCUAGUUGGUGAGGUAAUGGCUCACCAAGGCGACGACGGGUAGCCGGCCUGAGAGGGUGACCGGCCGCACUGACACUGAGACGCGGUCGAGACGGCUACGGGAGGUAGCGGUGGGGAAUAUUGCGCAAUGGGCGAAAGCUUGAUGCAGCAACGCCGCGUGAGGGAUGAAGGCCUUCGGGUUGUAAACCUCUUUUAGCAGGGAAGAAGCGAAAGUGACGGUACCUGCAGAAAAAGCACCGGCUAACUACGUGCCAGCCGCCGCCGUAA
rnacentral:rRNA from 1 species